AGAUUGAACGCUGGCGGCAGGCCUAACACAUGCAAGUCGAGCGGCAGCACGGGUACUUGUACCUGGUGGCGAGCGGCGGACGGGUGAGUAAUGCCUAGGAAUCUGCCUGAUAGUGGGGGAUAACGUUCGGAAACGGACGCUAAUACCGCAUACGUCCUACGGGAGAAAGUGGGGGAUCUUCGGACCUCACGCUAUCAGAUGAGCCUAGGUCGGAUUAGCUAGUUGGUAGGGUAAAGGCCUACCAAGGCUACGAUCCGUAACUGGUCUGAGAGGAUGAUCAGUCACACUGGAACUGAGACACGGUCCAGACUCCUACGGGAGGCAGCAGUGGGGAAUAUUGGACAAUGGGCGAAAGCCUGAUCCAGCCAUGCCGCGUGUGUGAAGAAGGUCUUCGGAUUGUAAAGCACUUUAAGUUGGAGAAGGCAUUAACCUAAUACGUUAGUGUUUUGACGUUACCGACAGAAUAAGCACCGGCUAACGUCUGUGCCAGCAGCCGCGGUAA
rnacentral:rRNA from 1 species